UACGUAGGGCGCGAGCGUUGUCCGGAAUUAUUGGGCGUAAAGAGCUCGUAGGCGGCCUGUUGCGUCCGCUGUGAAAUCCCGGGGCUCAACCCUGGGCGUGCAGUGGAUACGGGCAGGCUGGAGGCAGGCAGGGGAGAACGGAAUUCCCGGUGUAGUGGUGAUAUGCGUAGAUAUCGGGAGGAACACCAGUGGCGAAGGCGGCUUUCUGGGCCUUACCUGACGCUGAGACGCGAAAGCGUGGGGAGCGAACCGG
rnacentral:rRNA from 1 species